rnacentral:lncRNA from 1 species
UCCCACUCGACCGUAUUCUAGUACACUCUAGUCUGCCCACGGUGUCGUCGAGAGUGAUCGUCCCAGAAUACGUCCGGUUUUAUGACAUUUGUUGCCCAGUUGGCGGUGCUGUACCACAACGCAUCUGGAACAAAGCUUCUGCUGAUGUUUGUUGUGCCCAUGGAGAUCUAGCCUGACUCUGCAUCGUUGAUAACAACUAGCCGCAAGUGCUGAUUGCUGCUGGUCAGCUCAGUCCAGAAUUUGGCCUCACAAAUUACAAUGAGCCUUGGUGAAUGCAUCACUGUUGCCAAAGAGCCACGCCCCGCACCUUCCAAGGUCAUCAGUCAGGUCGAGGUUGGCCUGCAGUGCAGCUUGCCUCUGGCUGACAAGUCUGUCGGGUGCUCCUUGAAAGCAUGGAGCGUGUCGAGGAGCAUGCAGACUACGGAGGCUGUGGAUCAGUCAAGCUCCACCUUAGGUGGGCAUUGACCGGCAGUUCUCUUACUU